GUUUGGUUAUACGUCUGAGUUUGGUUGUACGGAGUUUGGAAGACAAGAAGAGGUCUCCCUAUACAGUCCCCACUUUGAAAUUCCCGUUUGUAGUCUCCAGACCUCAAAAGUCAGUGGUCUCACAGAAGAGCCCAGGAGUCAUUGGUUUCCCGCUUUUGGCCCAAGCUCCCGGCGUAACGAAUGCUAACGCAGAACCUCCGCCGACAGCCGCUGCGUCCCGUCCCCCGCUGGUCUAGUCGCCCGCCGCCAACCCCGGGGGCGGGCGCUGCGCCAGGGCUUCGGGACCCAGUGCCAGACCCAGAGCGCCGCCGGGCACCCGAGGGUGACAGCAGGAGAGAAGAUAAGGAAACUAAGGCAAAAUGAGGUUCUGAAACUUACUAUCAAUCACACUGCUGAGAGGUGGUGAUAAGUUGGAAUUCUCGUCUAACUUUUCCUAAAGUGAUCUUCUUCAAUCUGUGGUUCAAAGUCUACCUGAAUCUGAAGCACUUAAGAAUUUUGGGGACGCCUGGAUGGCUCAGUGGUUGAGCGUCUGCCUUUGGCUCGGGUCCUGAUCCUGGCUGGGGUCCUGGGAUCAAGUCCUGCAUGGGGCUCCCAGCAGGAAGCCUGCU